CUAGACUCCUACGGGAGGCAGCAGUGGGGAAUAUUGCACAAUGGGGGAAACCCUGAUGCAGCGACGCCGCGUGAGCGAUGAAGUAUUUCGGUAUGUAAAGCUCUAUCAGCAGGGAAGAAAAUGACGGUACCUGACUAAGAAGCCCCGGCUAACUACGUGCCAGCAGCCGCGGUAAUACGUAGGGGGCAAGCGUUAUCCGGAUUUACUGGGUGUAAAGGGAGCGUAGACGGUCCUGCAAGCCAGAUGUGAAAGCCCGGGGCUCGACCCCGGGACUGCAUUUGGAACUGUAAGGCUAGAGUGUCGGAGAGGCAGGCGGAAUUCCUAGUGUAGCGGUGAAAUGCGUAGAUAUCAGGAGGAACACCGGUGGCGAAGGCGGCCUGCUGGACUGCAACUGACGUUGAGGCCCGAAAGCGUGGGGAGCAAACAGGAUUAGAUACCCCGGUAA
rnacentral:rRNA from 1 species